GACGAACGCUGGCGGCGUGCUUAACACAUGCAAGUCGAACGCUGAAGCACCAGCUUGCUGGUGUGGAUGAGUGGCGAACGGGUGAGUAAUACGUGAGUAACCUGCCCUUGACUCUGGGAUAAGCCCGGGAAACUGGGUCUAAUACUGGAUGCUACAUGUCACCGCAUGGUGGUGUGUGGAAAGGGUUUACUGGUCUUGGAUGGGCUCACGGCCUAUCAGCUUGUUGGUGAGGUAAUGGCUCACCAAGGCGACGACGGGUAGCCGGCCUGAGAGGGUGACCGGCCACACUGGGACUGAGACACGGCCCAGACUCCUACGGGAGGCAGCAGUGGGGAAUAUUGCACAAUGGGCGAAAGCCGGAUGCAGCGACGCCGCGGGAGGGAUGACGGCCUUCGGGUUGUAAACCUCUUUCAGCAGGGAAGAAGCCACAAGUGACAGUACCUGCAGAAGAAGCGCCGGCUAACUACGUG
rnacentral:rRNA from 1 species